rnacentral:rRNA from 1 species
AUUGAACGCUGGCGGCAGGCCUAACACAUGCAAGUCGAGCGGAUGAAGGGAGCUUGCUCCUGGAUUCAGCGGCGGACGGGUGAGUAAUGCCUAGGAAUCUGCCUGGUGGUGGGGGAUAACGUCCGGAAACGGGCGCUAAUACCGCAUACGUCCUGAGGGAGAAAGUGGGGGAUCUUCGGACCUCACGCUAUCAGAUGAGCCUAGGUCGGAUUAGCUAGUUGGUGGGGUAAAGGCCUACCAAGGCGACGAUCCGUAACUGGUCUGAGAGGAUGAUCAGUCACACUGGAACUGAGACACGGUCCAGACUCCUACGGGAGGCAGCAGUGGGGAAUAUUGGACAAUGGGCGAAAGCCUGAUCCAGCCAUGCCGCGUGUGUCAAGAAGGUCUUCGGAUUGUAAAGCACUUUAAGUUGGGAAGAAGGGCAGUAAGUUAAUACCUUGCUGUUUUGACGUUACCAACAGAAUAAGCACCGGCUAACUUCGUG